GCUGGGGGAUUCCAGGAAGGAUUGACCCAAACCUCCUCUCCCAGAAGGGAUUGGGAACUGGGCGGAGGGGCAGGGAAGAGUCCCGGUGCCCGUCUCGCGAGCCGCGUUCCUGCGCAGGCGACCCCUCCGUGUCAUCUCUCACCCAGCCUCGGAGAGGCCCUCUUCGAACGAGCAGCCGGGCCAGGCACUUGGAUAAGCGGCACAAUCCUUUCCCCUGCACCCCUCCGUCCGUUUCCCCUGCACCCCUCCGUCCGUUUCCCCUGCACCCCUCCGUCCGUUUCCCCUCUGCCCUCCGUCCGUUUCCCCUCUGCCCUCCCGUGUGCCCUCCCCUGGUGUGCCCCCCCCGGUGUGCCCCCCCCAGUGUGCCCCCCAAGCCAGGAGCUUUCCUAUCCGGACGCGGGGUGUGAAGGCGGAAGAGCUUUUCGUCUGGCCGAGCUGGCGCGAGGGGGGGUUUCGUGGCCGCGGACCGGGCUUUUUACACGCCGCACGCUGCCUCUCCCACCCUGCUCUCCUCUGUUUGGUUAUCUCCGGGGGGGUGGGGGGGGUCAGGGCGGUCGGUUAUUUCAAAGGAGGUACUUUCCAUCCCCCGAGCAUGUGGGUUUAGGCUUUCCAUCCUGGGGGUUGGCGAAGGGGUGUGUGUGUGUUGUGUGUGUGCGUGAGAGAGAGAGAAUGUGGGGGGGGGGCAUACAUUCAGGUGCACUUUGCUUAGAUUCUCACAGCUCUCCGAUAGAGUGUAGCUUUAACACCGUCCCCAAUUCCUCCCCUGACUUCCACGAGAUUCUUUUGCGAGCCACGAAUGAAAACCGGGGGGGGGGCGGGGGGGCGGCGAAGAGAGGAGAGAGGUCACACUCUGGCACUUUAGAAGGGCUGGUUGGUUGCACAGGUGAAAGCAGGGACGCCUCCGCCGGGCCCCAGCACUGGAGGGGGGACAGGGGAACCGCGCCGGUCUGGAAACUGGGGAACGGGACGUUGAAAGGGGACGGAACCCAAGUUGGACCCUCUUGCGGCCGGGGGAGGGGCAGUGGCUUGGACUGGGCCCCUCCCUCGGAUGUCAGACCCCUUCCACAUUUCGAGGAAGAGACAAAGAGGCUGCUCGAAGCAGAGGCGAGGACGGACUCCAACUCCCGUGGUACCUGA
rnacentral:lncRNA from 1 species